rnacentral:rRNA from 1 species
AGUGGCCAAACUACCCUAUAGACCAGUAUAACCUCGGGAAACUGAGGCUAAUGCUGGAUACGACUCUCAGUCUGGAACGACGAGAGCCACAAACGCUCCGGCGCUAUAGGAUGUGGCUGCGGCCGAUUAGGUAGACGGUGGGGUAACGGCCCACCGUGCCGAUAAUCGGUACAGGUUGUGAGAGCAAGAGCCUGGAGACGGAAUCUGAGACAAGAUUCCGGGCCCUACGGGGCGCAGCAGGCGCGAAAACUUUACACUGCACGACAGUGCGAUAAGGGGAUUCCGAGUGCGAGGGCAUAUAGUCCUCGCUUUUGUACACCGUAGGGAGGUGUACGAAUAAGGACUGGGCAAGACCGGUGCCAGCCGCCGCGGUAAUACCGGCAGUCCAAGUGAUGGCCGCUAUUAUUGGGCCUAAAGCGUCCGUAGCCAGCCAGACAGGUCCGUCGGGAAAUCCACGCGCUCAACGCGUGGGCGUCCGGCGGAAACCAGCUGGCUUGGGGCCGGAAGACCUGAGGGGUACGUCCGGGGUAGGAGUGAAAUCCUGUAAUCCUGGACGGACCACCGGUGGCGAAAGCGCCUCAGGAAGACGGACCCGACGGUGAGGGACGAAAGCUAGGGUCACGAACCGGAUUAGAUACCCGGGUAGUCCUAGCUGUAAACGAUGCUCGCUAAGUAUGGCACACACUACGAGUGUGUGCUGUGCUGUAGUGAAGACGAGAAGCGAGCCGCCUGGGAAGUACGUCCGCAAGGAUGAAACUUAAAGGAAUGGCCCGGGGGGAGAAA